rnacentral:rRNA from 1 species
GACGAACGCUGGCGGCGUGCUUAACACAUGCAAGUGGAGCGACGAACCAGGGCUUGCCCUGGGGUAAAGCCGCGAACGGGUGAGUAACACGUGGGUAACCUGCCCCGAUGACCGGGACAACCCGAGGAAACUCGGGCUAAUACCGGAUGAGCUCACGCCACAUCAGUGGCAUGAGGAAAGGAAGCUUCGGCCUCCGCAUUGGGAUGGGCCCGCGGCCCAUUAGCUUGUUGGUGGGGUAAAGGCCUACCAAGGCUUCGAUGGGUAGCUGGUCUGAGAGGACGAUCAGCCACACUGGGACUGAGACACGGCCCAGACUCCUACGGGAGGCAGCAGUGGGGAAUCUUGCGCAAUGCGCGAAAGCGUGACGCAGCAACGCCGCGUGCGGGAAGACGGCCU